ensembl:snRNA U1 U1 spliceosomal RNA
AUACUUACCUGGUAGGGGCGAUACCAUGAUCAAGAAGGCGGUUCACCCAGGGCGAGGCUCGUCCAUUGCACUCCGGCCGUGCUGAUCCCUGCGAAUUCCCCAAAUGUGGGAAUCUUGACUGGAUAAUUUAUGGUAGUGGGGGACUGCGUUCACGCUCUCCCCUG